GGGGCCAUAGCUCAGAUGGGAGAGCGCCUGCUUUGCAAGCAGGAGGUCGCCGGUUCGAUCCCGGCUGGCUCCA
rnacentral:tRNA from 1 species